rnacentral:rRNA from 1 species
UGGGGAAUAUUGCGCAAUGGGGGAAACCCUGACGCAGCAACGCCGCGUGAGUGAGGAAGUAUCUCGGUAUGUAAAGCUCUAUCAGCGGGGAAGAAAGAGGACGGUACCCGACUAAGAAGCCCCGGCUAACUACGUGCC